rnacentral:lncRNA from 1 species
UAAAAGAAAAAAAAAAUCAAUUUCAUCUCUCUUUCAUCUCACUUCCAAAGUUUGUCAACAAAAAGAAAAUAAAAAGAGAAAAACAAAGAAAGAGAUAGUGUGAGAAUGUAGGUUCGGAUCAGCCACAAAUCAGGAGAAAGUGUGAUUUUGUUUAAGCUUCAUAACUCUUGGGGAGAAGAAGAAGGAUAUCAUAAAUCAAAGGUAUUUUAAAAGAAGUUAAAAUAAAUUGCAUAACAGUAAUUGCCAAUCAAGGUAUGUUUCCUUAACUCAAACUCGAGUUAUUAUCUUUCAAGCAUGUUAGUGGAUAAUUAUUGCUGGUUAUUCACAUCCAUAAUGAUUAUUGUUAUUCGUACAUAGUGCAAUUGAUUCAUGUUCUAUUAUUUGAACUGUAUACGAGCCAUGUCUCAGUUAUUUGUUUUGGUAAGACUAAUAUUUGUUAAAGCAUGAAACGUUCUAUUUAUUAUGAACUGAUUUAUUAUUAGAAGAUCUAUGUCAUUUAUUUCGGCUAGAUUAAUAUGGAUAUUAUAUGUUGAAAUCAUAGUAUUUCUUUAAAAGCAAUCCAAACGAUAUUGUUGUGGUACAUACUCAUGAUUUAAGACUGAGAAAAUGAACAACCCUUAUAAAAAGGGGAACUUUAUCGUCGGACAUCUGACACUUGUGCUAUUUUUGAGUAUUAUGCAUAAUAUAGAGUACAAUGAGGCUGAUCACUUCAUGUACUCGCAAAAGAGUAUGAUUUAAUCUUUAUGGUUAACUGAUACUCUUGAGGUAAUUCAAUAUUAAUUAACUGAUAAUUCCUCUAUUAGUUCUUGAUCCAUUUGUGAUCACUCAGCAUGAAAUCUGGGAAUAUUUUACUUUAAUGAAUAUUGUUUCAUUAUUGCUAAUUGUUCCUAAUCAAAUGAAUAUUAUUGAAUCUUCAAACGAAUUUAAUUUUUUCAUUCUUGAAAUGUUAUUUAUUCUGGAAUUUAAGAAAAUUUUUGUUCUUGAAAAUGAUUUAUUGUUCAGCUACUUUGAAAUCUUUUGAACAUUGUUGACAAUAUAGAAAGUAUAAGACCCCAACUUUUAUGAAUAAAGAUUAAUUUUCUCUAAAUAUCAUUUUGAAUAUUAUGGUGUGGAUUUGAUAUUAUGUUAUAGUUGUGAGUAAUAUUUAUAAAUUUUGCAAAGUAAGCAAGUUGUCAUAAAAUAUUCGAUUGGUUGGGAAAUAUUCGUUUUAUCAGGGAAUAUUCGUACGACGGCUCAAUCAUUGGUGGACCCCACAACAAAAUUAUUGUCUAAGUCAGAAAAUGACAUAAAUAACUUUUUAUAAAAAUAACGGCGAAAUUUUUACGUUAACUGUUGAAAUACCCGGUGAUAAAAGUACAGUAAUACGCGUGGUUGUAUAGUAGCACACAAUAUUUGAUGCUUGCGUGAGAAGUCACUCAGUUAUACUCAAUUAUUGCUACAGUAAUUGCUGAUAGUAUCUCACAUUAUUGAUUUAAUUAUUGUCACAAUAUCAUCUGCACAAUAUUUUAUAUUAUUAAAUCAAUAAUUGAGAUGACAAAGUUAUUCAUAUUAUUAUUUGUAAUAUUGACAAUGUCUAGAAAGUUAUGUCGAGGAAAGGGGUUUGGUCACCUAAUUCCGCGCCAAUAGGGAGAAAUCCUUAUCGGAAAGCCUCCUCUUUCAUGGAAAUGAUCUGGUUGUUAAUAUUGUGAGUUAUAAUAUUAAUGAUGAAUGUUAUUAAAAAUAUGUUUUGAGAAGCCAAGUGAAUUGAGAUAAAUAGAGGGGGUUUUAUUGAAGUAUUUUUUUGUACAUUUGGCCUAUUAUAUGGACCCCACUUACCCAUUUUCAAAAUAUCCGGGAGAAGUUAUCUCAAUUUUGUUAUAUAUAUAUAUAUAUAUAUAUAUNNNNNNNNNNNNNNNNNNNNNNNNNNNNNNNNNNNNNNNNNNNNNNNNNNNNNNNNNNNNNNNNNNNNNNNNNNNNNNNNNNNNNNNNNNNNNNNNNNNNUAUUAGUAAUAUAUUAUUAUUAUUGUUAUUGUUGUUAUUAUUAGUAUGAUUAUUAUUAUUAUUAUUAUAUAUAUAUAUAUAUAUAUAUAUAUAUAUUAUAAUAAGUUUUGUUUUUUUUUAUGAAAAAUAGAAUAUAUUAUAUUUUAUUAUGCAUAGUAUGUGCAUAGUGUCUACAUAGUGUUUGCACAAUAAAUCAGAAAAAUCAAAAAUUCAGUCGGCGAAUUCGCGCCCAUGAGAAAAAUCCUGUUCACCCGUGAAUUAGUUUCAAAUACUAUCAUUCCAUUAUCCUAUAAAUAGGAUGCUUAGCUUAGAAUUGAAAAUCACAUAAGAAUCAGAGAAUUCUUCUUCUAUAAUAUUGAAUGUAUUUCUUUAGAGUUUAAGGAAGCUUUGACUGUAAAAAAUAGUGUAAGUUUUCUUCAAGAAUAUAUCCGCUAUACUAGUCCAUACCAAUCAGAAAUACUCUCCUUUUAAGGUAAGGGAUAUUAUUUUUGUUUAAUAUUCGUAUGAAAUAAUAUUUUCUUCCAUACUCUGUAGUAUGUAAGUAAUAUUGUUUCGUCUGAGAUUCCAAAUUCGACACUCAUUUUGUUAAGUAUUUUACUAUACUCCUUGAAAUUAGUAGAAUAUCCUUGAAAUUUGCGCUUCAUCUAAUAUCUUUUCACGAAAUAUUAUUAUGAACAUUCUUGAUAAUUCUUAGUCUUUUCAUGUCGGGGUACUAUUUCACGAGGUAUUAUUCUCGAAGUACUAUUCACUCAGUUACUAUUCACCCAGGGUACUAUUCAUGACAAACAAUUGAUUUCUUUUCUGUCAAAAUCAUUUUUGAUACAAUAUUAUUCUUGAAUUUUACUCCACAAAGCAGUAUCAUGUUGACAAUUUGGACAUUAUUGAAUUCUGGAUUAAUUGAAUUAUAAAUCUUUAAAAUUUAUCCUUGCUUUCAUUUAAUUGAAUUCUUAUAUCAUUGUCAUCAUCCUCAUGCUUAUAUUGUGAUGAAAGUCAUCUUUGACCCGUAGUGCAUAGAUGGACUAUUGAUUGGUACGAUUAUGACUAGGAAUUAUUCGGUAUAAUCAUGACCUGUAAUGUUACAAAUGAUGUGGUAAAAGUCCUCAUUGGCCCGUAGUGCAUUGAUGGAAAGUUGUUGGCAUGAUCAUGACCAUUGGUGAUAACAUGAAUAUCCUUGGCCCGUAAUGCAUGGAUAAUUCGUGGAUGUGAUGCUAAUAAAUAUCCUUGGCCCGUAUUGCAUGGACAAUUCAGUGAUGUGGAUUAUUUAUUAAGCUGAGUCUCAGCGAUAAAAUUGAUGAUAAACUUUUAAAUCAUAGAAGAUAGUAGAUAUCAUGCUCAACUUGACUCUUCUAAUGGAUUGUUUGUCCCGCUGUAGUUAAACUUAUUGUCUAUUGUAUUAUAUCAGUUUAACACUGUUGAAGGCUAACGAUAAUUUAUUUUGCAUUAUCUUAGUCAUAAUAUUUCUUACUGGGCUAGUUGAGCUCACCCUUUGCUUUCAUUGUUCUCUUCAGGAAAUGAGAACAUAGCCAGGACUAGUCGGGGAACGGAGUGAUGGUCCGAGAUGGUGGAUAUAGUAGUCCUGACUGUUCUAUGAAAUAGUAUAAUAAUAAUUGUAAUGAGGAAUUUAUUUGAGUUUGGAUACUAUCUACGAGACAAUACCCGUGUUAAAACUCUCAGCUACAUUUUUUAUAUUGUAUAAAUGAAGUUUGUAUUUAAGUUCUGUACCAUGUAUUUGGCGACUCAGAAUGGGUGAUGUAUACCUAUUUUUGGGCCGUCUCAUGCACGACUCACAAUACCCCCAAAAUUGGUAAUAGGACUUCGAAUAUGGUGAUAUAUAAUGAGAAAAAUGUAAGAAUAAACUGCUUACCCUAAGUGUAUUGACAAAUUGAUUGAUUCUCCCCUUCUGUUUUGUCGUAUUCUUCAUGAUAGUUGUAUUAAUUAAGUUUGUAUUUGAAUUAUGUACUAUGUAUUUGGCGACCCAAGAUGGGUGAUGUAUACCUAUUUUUGGGCCGUCUCAUGCACGACUCACAAUACCCCCAAAAUUGGUAAUAGGACUUCGAAUAUGGUGAUAUAUAAUGAGAAAAAUGUAAGAAUAAACUGCUUACCCUAAGUGUAUUGACAAAUUGAUUGAUUCUCCCCUUCCUUUUUGCUGGGUGUUGUAUACCUAUUUUUGGGGCGUCACAAAAAAUCUCACUUGAAGAACCCUAACUAUUGUAUGACUGAAAUUGUAUGGAAUAGGAUGGAGAUGUUGUGUAGUUAGGGUUUGAAUAUAUAGAGAUGAGAUAAUGUAUGUAUUUAGUGGGUUAAUAUUGUGGGUAAGUAGGGAGUUUGUGGCUAAUUCGUGGGUUAAUGGGGGUAUAGGAGUCGGUUGUGGGAGAAGUGGUCUAAAUGGUUGUAACUACUGAAGAGAAUCCUUUCACGUUCCCGUACCCCCGCCCCGGUGGUGGGUAAUAAGCUGCAGAUGCCCGCCCCGGUGGGGGGUAAUAAGCUGCAGAUGUCCGCCCCGGCGGGAGGGGGUAUUUUGUUCCUGGUUCAUGAUCCCUUCCUCAGCGGGGGGUAUCCUUUGNNNNNNNNNNNNNNNNNNNNNNNNNNNNNNNNNNNNNNNNNNNNNNNNNNNNNNNNNNNNNNNNNNNNNNNNNNNNNNNNNNNNNNNNNNNNNNNNNNNNNNNNNNNNNNNNNNNNNNNNNNNNNNNNNNNNNNNNNNNNNNNNNNNNNNNNNNNNNNNNNNNNNNNNNNNNNNNNNNNNNNNNNNNNNNNNNNNNNNNNNNNNNNNNNNNNNNNNNNNNNNNNNNNNNNNNNNNNNNNNNNNNNNNNNNNNNNNNNNNNNNNNNNNNNNNNNNNNNNNNNNNNNNNNNNNNNNNNNNNNNNNNNNNNNNNNNNNNNNNNNNNNNNNNNNNNNNNNNNNNNNNNNNNNNNNNNNNNNNNNNNNNNNNNNNNNNNNNNNNNNNNNNNNNNNNNNNNNNNNNNNNNNNNNNNNNNNNNNNNNNNNNNNNNNNNNNNNNNNNNNNNNNNNNNNNNNNNNNNNNNNCUGAGUCAAGACCCCCUCCACGGAGGGGGGUUCCUUCAUAAAUUAUCCGCCUCGGCGAGGGGUACACUGCAGCUGAGCUUGAUUUUUCCAUUUUUUUUCAUCCAACACAUAUCCACGAGCUUUGUAAAUGCCUCAAACAUAAUUAAAUCAUGAACAUAAGACAACAUUGUUCAAAUUAAGCAUGAAAGGUCAAAUUAUCUAGACUUAUAACUCAACUAACUACUUAAUGAGUCAAAAUAAACUUAUUCUAUACUAACUUGUAUUCUAAACUACAAAUUAAUUAGUAUACUUAACAAUACUGAAAAUGAAAGUAAAAUUGGGUUGCCUCCCAAUUAACGCUUGAUUUUAAGUCUUUCUGCCUGACUACUCCCUUUUCAUGGCGCGUCGGCAAGUGUGAUUGCGGUGACUUCAUUGUCGAUGUCUCCACCCCAGUAAUGCUUCAACCGAUGACCGUUGACUUUGAAUAUCUCCAUUGGAUUCCUAUUGUAUAACUCAAUGGAGCCAUGUGGGAAAACCUUCUUAAUUGUGAAUGGCCACGACCAUCUCGAUUUAAGCUUUCCUGGGAACAACCGUAGUCGUGAGUUGAACAAUAAUACUGCUUGUCCUGGUUCAAACUUUUUCCGCAUGAUCUUUUGGUCAUGCCACUUCUUAACCUUUUCCUUGUACAUUUGUGAGUUCUCGUAUGCUUGCAGCCGAAACUCAUCUAGUUCAUUCAGUUGGAGAAAUCUUUUCUCUCCUGCAGCUGCUUGAUAUAAAUUAAGUUUCUGAAUGGCCCAAUACGCUUUAUGUUAUAAUUCUACUGGGAGGUGACAUGCUUUCCCGUAGACCAAUUGGUACGGAGACAUCCCAAUUGGUGUUUUAUAUGCUGUCCUAUAUGCCCAUAGUGCGUUGUCCAAUUUUAGAGAUCAAUCUUUUCUACUUGGAUUCACUACUUUCUCUAAAAUCUUCUUCAACUCUCUAUUCGAAACCUCAGCUUGACCACUCGUUUAGGGGUGAUAUGCCGUAGCCACCCUAUGAUUGACCCCAUAUUUUGCCAAAAGAGUUGUAAAUGAUCUGUUGCAGAAGUGACUACCCUCAUCACUGAUAAUUGCUCUUGGCGUGCCAAAUCUUGUAAAGAUAUUCUUAUGUGAGAAUUUGAGAACCACUUUGGCAUCGUUUGUGGGGAGUGCUACGGCUUCAACCCAUUUCGACACAUAAUCCACAACUAGCAAGAUGUGCAGGUUGUUGAAAUAUGGAGGAAACAGUCCCAUAAAAUCUAUCCCCCAUACGUCAAAAAUUUCGACUUCCAUGGUAGUGUGUAGCGGCAUUUCAUUCCUCUUUGAAAUAUUGCCCACCCUUUGGCAUCUAUCACAAGUUUUCACAAAUUGGUGGGCAUCCUUGAACACCGUAGGCCAAUAAAAUCCUGCUUGUAGUACUUUAGCUGAUGUCCGCUCACUACCAUAAUGUCCCCUAUAAUGUCCCCCAUAGCUGAACACCGUUGGCAUAAUCAUGACCAUUGGUGAAAAUACGAAUAUCCUUGGCUCAUAGUGCAUGGAUAAUUUGUGGUCGUGAUACUAAUGAAUAUCCUUGGCCUGUAGUGCAGGGAUGAUUCAAUGAUGUUGUUUAUUUAUUAAGCUGAGUCUCAGCGAUAAAAUUAGUGAUAAACUUUUUAAAUCAUAGAAGAUUGUAGAUAUCGUGCUCUACUUGACUCUUCUAAUGGAUUGCUUGUUACACUGCAGUUAAACUUGAUGUUUAUUAUAUUUUAUCAGUUUAACACUGUUGAAGGCUAACUAUAAUUUAUUCUGCAUUAUCUUAGUCAUAAUAUUUCUUACUGGGCUAGUUGAGCUCACCCUUUUGCUUUCAUUGUUCUCUUCAGGAAAUAAGAACAUAGCCGUGACUAGUCGGGGAACGGAGUGAUGUUCUGAGAUGGUUGUUUAAGUAGACCUCACUAUUGAGUGUGAUAAUAAAUGUAAUGAGGAUUGAAUUUGAGUUUGGAUAUUGUCUAUGAGACAAUAUUCGUGUAAAAAAUUAGCUAUGUUUUGUCGUAUUCUUCACGACAGUUGUAUUAAUUAAUUUUGUAUUUGAAUUCUGUACCAUGUAUUUGGCGACCCAAGACAGGUGAUAUAUACCUAUUUUGGGGCGUCACAGUUGGUAUCAAAGCUUAGGUAUAUGAUCCCUGGCUAAGGUGUGAGACUAGAACUAGGGGGAGAGACGGGGAAAUCCUUCUCUAGUAUGACCUACCUAAGUUUAUUUGUUAUUUAAUUGGUCGGCCAGAAUAUAAGGAUAAUAUGUGGUAUAUCAAUUAACCCUUGUUUGUUGGCAGUAUUUGAAAAUGACAUCCGAGAAUGUUGAGAAAAGCAAUGGAGCACAUGAGACUGUUGAGUCACCAACAAUCAAUACCCAGGAUAAUGUGCAUCAAGAAGGCAAUAAUCCUUAGGAAAACAACAACACCAACCAAAUGAUGAAUGAUGGGAUGUUCAGAGGCUUUAUGCAAUUCAUACAACAUCAGGUGAGAACGACUCCUGUUCAAAAUGCAGGUGGAAACACUGGCAAAUCUCGAAUGGUCACCGCUAAGCAGUUCAAGGAGCUGGGACCACCAGAGUUUUUGGGAGAGCCAAAACCACUUAAGGCGGAGACGUGGAUAAAGCAGAUCACCAAGAUAUUUGAUGUCUUGGGAUGCUCCGAGGAGAAAAAGGUUCCCUUUGCCACCUUCAUGUUACGAGGAGAGGCAGAUUACUGGUGGGAAUCUAUAAAGCGUACUCAACCUGCUACACAGAAGAUGUCUUGGGAGAAGUUCCAAGAACUGUUCAACGACAAGUACUUUCCCGAAAGUAUUCGUCACAUGAAGGAGGUAGAGUUCAUCAAACUGGAGCAAAACAAUAUGACUGUGUCGCAGUACGAAGCUAAGUUUGCCGAGUUGUCCCGGUUUGCGUCCCACUUGGUUGAUAAUGAGGAGAUAAUGAUGCGGAUAUUUCUAAGAGGUUUGAAACCCGAGAUACGUCAAUACCUAAAUUCUCACAAACUUUUCUUGUAUUCAGAUGUUGUGAAUAAGGCUAAGUUAUUGGAGCGCGAUAAUGUGUCAACCCAACCAAGAUAGAGCAGCCGAAAAAAUGAUAAUACCAGUGGUAGCAAUCAUUGAAGUGGUGACAACAAACGUGAAGGGAAUCAACAUGCCAGAAAUGGUAACCACUUCGGUGGUAAUCAUGGCCAAGAUAAUAUGAGUGGAAAUUUCAAGAAAAGGAGAUUCAAAAUGAUGGAAAGACAUCAGCACCAGCACCCGUUGUUAAUGAAGGAGAACGACCACCUAUCAUAUGCUUCAAAUGCGGAGGGGAGGGACACAUCAGUCCAAAUUGCACGCAGCAGUCCAAAACAUGUUACAAUUGUGGAAGAGAAGGUCACCUAGCUCGAUUUUGUCAUGCAGUGAAGCCAAGUCUAGUUGGGAUGGUGACACUAAAUGCCCUCCCAGACAAGUCAAAACCAGUAGUUCAAGGGUGAACGUUUGUCGUGACCUCCCAGAAAGUGAGGAACCCGAAUGAGGUCAUCACGGGUAAGCUAAUCAUAAACUCUAGCGAAGUCUAUACCUUAUUUGAUACCGGUUCUACCCAUUUUUUUAUUUCUCCUACUUGCGCUCAACGUUUAAAUUUAACUCCGGAGAAAUUAGACUUUGACUUAUCUGUUGAAACUCUGUUGGGAGAAACCUUCAUUACAUCCACUGUUUAUAAGUCCUGUUUGAUUCAAAUCGGCAACCGCACGUUACCGGUCGAUCUUAUCUCUUUGAAAAUACUUGCAUUUGAUGUGAUUUUAGGGAUUGAUUGAUUAACCACUCAUCAUGCUAAAAUUGAUUAUUUUCGUAAGGUUGUUAGCUUUCAUAUUCCUAACCAACCUAUUUGCGAAUUCAAGCAACCAAACCACUAAAGUCAAUUUCUAUCAUAUCAAGCCAUAAAGCUAUUCAUUUAUUGAAAAAUGGAUGUCAAGCUUUCUUAGCCCAUGUCAUGAAUUUAAACAAAAAUACGUCAGAUUUGAAUAAUAUUUCUAUUGUUAAUAAAUUUCAUGACGUAUUCCCUGAAGAACUUCCUGGCGUACCCCCAGAGCGUGAAAUCGAGUUUGGUAUUGACCUUGAACCCGGUACAAAACCCAUUUCCAAAGCCCCAUAUCGAAUGGCCCCUAUUAAACUUAAGGAGUUAAAAACCCAACUGCAGGAAUUAUUAGACAUUGGUUUCAUUCGUCCUAGUACGUCUCCUUGGGUUGCUCCUGUUCUAUUCGUGAAGAAGAAAGAUGGGAGUAUGCGACUUUGUAUUGAUUAUCGGGAGUUGAACCAUGUGACCAUCAAAAAUAGGUACCCGUUACCUCGCAUUGAUGACAUGUUUGACCAGUUGCAAGGCGCAAAAUACUUUUCAAAGAUCGAUAUUCAUUCCGGAUAUCACCGGUUAAAGAUUAAAAUUGAUGACAUCCCAAAGACUACUUUCAGAACUUGGUACGGGCAUUACGAAUUCCUAGUCAUGUCUUUUGGAUUGACUAAUGCUCCUGCUGCCUUCAUGGAAAUGAUGAACCGAGUAUUCAAGGAAUAUUUGGAUCACUUUGUAGUCUUUUUUAUUGAUGACAUCCUCAUAUACUCCAAAACCCGUGAAGAUCAUGAGCAACACUUGAGGCUGAUACUUCAAAAGCUUCGUGAAAACAAGCUUUAUGCCAAGUUAAAGAAAUGCGAGUUUUGGCUUGAGGAAUUAGCAUUCCUUGGGCACAUGAUAUCAAAUCACAGAAUAUCUGUUGACCCAAUGAAGAUUGAAGCAAUACAAAGCUGGGAGCAACCUAAGUUAGUGAUCGAAGUACGUAGCUUUCUGGGCUUAGCUGGUUAUUAUCAGAGAUUCGUGGAAGGAUUUUCUCGAAUCGCUACUCCAUUAACUCAGUUGACUCGAAAAGAUACAAAAUUUGAUUGGAGCAAGGAAUGUGAGAAGAGUUUUUAAGAACUCAAGAGGAGACUCAUUUCAGCACAUGUUUUGACAAUACCAUCUGGUUCGGAGGGAUUUGUCAUCUACAGCGAUGCUUCAGGCAGAGGGUUAGGAUGUGUUCUCAUGCAACAUGGGAAAGUCAUAUCCUAUGCCUCACGAUAACUCAAAGAAUAUGAGGGAAUUAAUCUACUCAUGAUCUAGAGUUGGCAGCAGUCAUUUUCGCACUAAAGAUCUGGAGACAUUAUUUGUAUGGGGAGAAGGUGGAGAUCUAUACGAAUCAUAAAAGCCUCAAAUAUUUCUUCACCCAAAAGGAACUCAACAUACGACAAAGACGUUGGCUCGAGUUGUUGAAAGAUUAUGAUCAUACCAUUCAAUACCAUCCUGGAAAAGCUAACGUAGUAGCUGACGCGUUGAGUAAAAGAUCAUAUACGGGUACAAGUGCGAUAUUGUCAAUGCAAAGGCCCAUUUUAUAUGAAUUACAAAGGAUGGAGAUAGAGUUAAAGACUCCAAGGACCCACGUGAUGAUGGAAAAUAUACGAGUAGAGCCUAUUUUAAUCGAUAAAGUUAAAGUUACUCAAGCUACAGACAUGGAGCUGAUGCGUAUGAAUAAAAAGUACAAGAAUGUGCUAUUCCGGAAGCAAGAAUCGAUGAAGAAGAAAUACUUCGAGUCAACUCCAGACUUUGUGUUCCUAACGACCCUGAUUUAAAGUAUAAGAUCAUGAUGGAGGCGCACAACACACUGUUUUUAAUCCAUCCUGGGAGUACCAAAAUAUAUCGUGAUCUUCGACAUAUAUUUUGGUGGAGCAAUAUGAAGAGAGAGAUAUCAGUGUUUAUCUCAAAGUGUUUAACUUGUCAACAAGUCAAGGUAGAGCAUCAAGUACCAAAAGGUCCAUUGCAACAACUUAAAAUUCUAGAAUGGAAGUGGGAGCACAUUACCAUGGAUUUUGUUACUGGUCUUCCCAAGGUUCCUCAAGGCAUAGAUGUAAUUUGGGUCAUUGUUGAUAGAUUGACCAAGUCUGCUCAUUUCUUACCUAUACGAGAAACUUAUUCACUUGAACUUCUUGCUUGUAUAUACAUAAAUGAGAUUAUAAGAUUGCAUGGUAUUUCAGUAUCCAUAGUUUCUGAUUGAGACCCAAGAUUUACUUCACGAUUUUGGGUUAGUUUACAAAAAGAUAUGGGCACAGAUUUACGAUUCAGUUUGGCAUAUCAUCCUCAGACGGACGGACAGUAGGAGAGGACUAUUCAAACUCUUGAAGAUCUAUUAAGACUCUGUAUCCUUGACUUCAAAGGAAGUUGGGACAAGUUCUUGCCAUUAGUGGAAUUCUUAUACAAUAAUAGUUAUCAAGCAAGUAUCGGCAUUGCUCCAUUCGAGGCGUUGUAUGGAUGCAAGUGUCGUUCUCCAGUAUGCUGGGAUGAGGUGGGCGAAGCAACGUUGUUAGGACCGUAAUUCAUACGCUUAACAACGGAAAAGAUUUAAAUGAUCCGGCAACGUAUAAAAAUCUCACAAGAUCGACAAAAGAGUUAUGCUCAUCUUCAUCGAGAAGACGUGGAAUUCAAUGUUAGAGAGCAUGUGUUGUUACGUGUUGCUCCAUGGAAAGGAGCUACAAGAUUUGAAAAGAGAGGAAAGUUCAAUCCUCGAUUCAUUGGUCCAUUCUGUAACGAAUGUAUUAUUUGAGUUGUGAUUCUGAGGACAGAAUCCUUGUAAGGAGGGAAUGAUGUAACAUUCUAGAAUUUUAAAUUGUAAUAUUAAAUAGUUAUUGAAUUAUAUAAGUAUUUAAUGGAUAUGUUUAUUAUUGAAUAAAUAAUUGUUCAAUUUGAUUUGAUUUGAUUUAGUUAAUUAUUUGUUAAGUAAAUAAUUAAGGAGUUAAGAAAAUUAAUUGUUAUGAAAUAAUAUACUAAUUUAAUUUAAUAGUUAAGUUAGAGAGCUUAUAAUGAUUAAAUGAAUUAUAAUAUUUUAAUUAGAAUUUGUAAUUAAAAUAAGGUGUUAGUUGGUUAAAUAAAAUUAUAAUUCUAAAGGAAAUUAUAAUUAUGUGGUAGUGAUUUAUGUGAUAAAGUAAUUUAAUAGAUUAGUAUUAGAAUUUAUUAAAUAGAUUAUUAAAAUAUAAUUAAAUAGAAGUGUGACAAAUAACCUUGCUAUAAAGGAGUUAUUAAAAUAAAUUAAAGGAGUUUAAUUAGUUUUUGCCAAACAAGUCUUAAUGCAUAUUAAGUCUUUAAUCUAAUAAUAUUUUAUCAAACAAGGUAUAAGGAUUAAUCCAUUUAUUUUAAUUAGGUUUACCAAACAAGGUGUAAGAUUUAAAUGGUUAUUUUAUUAGUCUAGCCAAACAAGCCUUAUGACUUUUGAAUUUUAAAACUUAGAUAACUGAUAUCAGUUAUCUCUAUAUUAAUAUUAUAUAAUUAAUACAUAUAUUAUUACCUAUAUACGUUAUAUUUUACUACGUAAGAUAGAGUUAGGAGAAGAAAAACUCAAAAGAAGAAAAAGGAAGAGAAGAAGAAAAAUUGAGAGAGAAUUGAGAGAAUCUUAGAAGGUUUUGAUAAAGGAAUUUAAGGAAAGAAGUAUUGUUGAUCAAAGGAAGAAAAAUCUUCAUCUUCUAGCAUACAAGGUAUCAUCCAAACCUUUUAAAAUUCCUUAAAAUUUUGUUGUCUUCUUCUUCCGAAAAGUUCUCUGUAAAAUAUUUGUAAAAGAGUAAUUGUUGAUGUAUAUAACUUUAUAUGAUAGUUGUUGUUAUAAGAAUUGUUUUCAUAAAGUUUAUAUAUGAGUAUAGAUAAACUAAUUCAUGUAUGUAUGUAUUUUAUGAAGAAACCCAUAUUAUAGUGAGUUAUAUGAAUAUGUAUGAAUAUGACUUAGUUUAAAAUUAAAAUUAAGGUUUUAGUAGUUGUUUAAAUUAUAAAUUGACUAUGGAAUUUGAAAGAGGAUGAAUAAACAUAAACAAGGUAUUUAGAAUUAAUUGUUUUGGUUGAAAAACAAAGUUACAGUGAUAAGUUUCACUAAAAAUGUCAAAAAUAGAGUUUUUAUCAAAAACAGUGAAAUUGGGUGUUGUAAAUUUAACGUUUAUGUUAUCAUAUGAGUAAAAACAUGUUAAUAGUCUUUAAAUUAUGUUUAUAUGAAGUCUAUGUGUGUAUUACAUGUUAAUUAGUUUGUUAGAAAUGAGCUUGUAGGCCAAAUUGGCUUUUUGUUCAUGUUGUUGCCGAGGCCGGUCGCCGAAGUUUGGAGUUCGGCGCCGCAGCGCCGGCCCACAGUGUAAACUGUGGCGCCGCAGCGCGAGUUAGUAGAAUGGUCUGACAGUUUUAUUUAUUUACACAAAGUCUGAAAACAAAUGUUAUGUGUUAAUAAUAGGACUGUUAAAUUAUGAUUUCAGUAGUACUAAACUAAGAAUGAGCAUGUUAUCAAGGGUUAACUAGUAUUAGUAUUAACGUAAUUCGAUUAUGUGAAUUGAAAAUCAAACUUACAUGAUGUAUAUACUUGUUUAUAUAUAUAAAAUGUUAGUAGUGACUAAUUAUGUCAUGAUGACAUAUAUAUAGGGUAUUGAGAUUCAAGUUGUAAGGUUUAGCUUGUGCUCAAGGCAAGUUUUCUAACCCUAAAACUUCGUUGUGCAAGUUUAAUUUCGAUGAGUACGUUAUUGCUUCUAAUUCAAUUACAAUUACGCAAGUUUGCUAACUCUACACUUUUGUAGAGCUAGACUGUCUAUUAUUGAGCAAGUUUCUUUAAUAUGUAACUUGUUAUUUAACAUGCAAGUUACUGUAUUCUAAUAUCCUAGAGUUGAACAACUUUAUCAUUCAAAUUACUAUUCGUUAUGCAUGUUUAGUAUCCAAUUCUCAAUAACCUUGAUUUAAUAUUGUUCAAGCAUAUUAUGUUACGAUUAUUCAAUGUUUAUGCUAUUAGAUUAUUCCUAAAGCAUGAUAUUAAUUUACAAAUAUCGAUUCAGUUAUGAUUAUUCCAUAGAAUGCCGUUAUUUCUGUUUUAUUCAACUAAUCCUUAGUUGAUGACCGUUGAAUUCUAAAUUACCUUGUAAUGUAUCCAAACCAAACCUACUUUGGUGAGGACUUAUAUUCUAAAUACUGAGAUGAACAACUCUUUUAUUAGAGGUUUACGCUUAGCGUUGAAAUGGUUGUGCACUAUACAUUGUACGAAGGGCUGAUCCCACUAAAUACGUGGAGUCCUUAUAGUCAUAUGACUGUUAAAGUUAAAGUUGAAAGAUUACUUAUAACUGUGGACAUGGUUCGUGGUCAUUAGACCCUCAGUAGUAUGUUUCAGAAUGUUAAUAGAACAUAUCAUUCAGUUCUAUUGAGUCUAUUUCUGGCAAAUGUUGUAAUAUGGUAAAGUUAUUCAUUCUUAUUUCAAGUGAGCUUUGUUUGCUCACUCUUGCAUAUUUAUACACUUAUUGCAGCUAAGGUUGAGACGGUAAAUGAACCUACAACUAGCAAAAGAAAGG